AUCAGAGUGGCGCAACGGAAGCGCAGUGGGCCCAUAACCCACAGGUCCGAGGAUCGAAACUUUGCUUUGAUA
rnacentral:tRNA from 1 species